rnacentral:rRNA from 1 species
CCAGAGAACUUAGCAGAGAUGCUUUGGUGCCUUCGGGAACUCUGAGACAGGUGCUGCAUGGCUGUCGUCAGCUCGUGUUGUGAAAUGUUGGGUUAAGUCCCGCAACGAGCGCAACCCUUAUCCUUUGUUGCCAGCGGCUCGGCCGGGAACUCAAAGAGACUGCCGGUGAUAAACCGGAGGAAGGUGGGGAUGACGUCAAGUCAUCAUGGCCCUUACGGCCAGGGCUACACACGUGCUACAAUGGCGCAUACAAAGAGAAGCGACCUCGCGAGAGCAAGCGGACCUCACAAAGUGCGUCGUAGUCCGGAUUGGAGUCUGCAACUCGACUCCAUGAAGUCGGAAUCGCUAGUAAUCGUAGAUCAGAAUGCUACGGUGAAUACGUUCCCGGGCCUUGUACACACCGCCCGUCACACCAUGGGAGUGGGUUGCAAAAGAAGUAGGUAGCUUAACCUUCGGGAGGGCGCUUACCACUUUGUGAUUCAUGACUGGGGUGAAGUCGUAACAAGGUAGGCGUAGCGAG